UUCUGCCUCUCAGAUGUGGGAAAAGGUAUUUUUUUUGAGUUUCCAGUAACUCAAUUUGGAAGCUGGCACGCCAAAUCUUGUACUUGCCAUAACGAUCAUUAAUGCCUCAUUAUUUCUUCGUACUUCUCCAUUCUCUGUCUGUUCACUGCCUGCUCAUCAUGUGUUUAAACUGCAAUCUUUUUUUUUUGUUUUGUGUUUUUACGGCUCCUAACACAAUAUGUUCUUGUCCAUGAUUAUAGCUCCUAAGUGUUACGGCAAUACAGUGAAUAAAUUGUAACUACAGAAAUGUAAUUCUUCCCAAAACAAGUAUUAUAAACACUAGGAAACUGAGAUUAAAUUUAGUUUCUAAAGAAAUUCAAACAUGUUGGUGUGAAAAUACAAAACUAAACACCCCAGUAACAUUGAUUCUGCCAUGCAAUGCUAUCAUGCAAUAGCUAUAGAAUUAUUUUGCAUUAUAUUGUUGAUAGCUGCUGGUAGAAUUAAACCAGGUUUUGAAGAUGUAUUCCUUUUAUUUCUCAUUGUUUCCUACCUGGUCCAUCAGUUGGAUGGAGCUGAGAUUGCGUGCACAUUUCCAUAGAUUGUUUGAAUUUCUUUCUAUACUUUUACAUGAAAAACGUAAAGUGGUUUUAAAUAUAUUAAAGCCUUAAAACUGUAGAUCAAGGUGAACUGUGUUCAUUGCAUGCUUAUUCCAGCUGGUUGCUGAAGGAUACAUGUGGGAGGAAGAAAGGAAAUAAUUUGAAAGAAAGGGCUUGGGUUUUCUAUUUUGUUUAUGUUUUUUUUUUAGUCAUCAACCUCUGGGCUUGCUUGACAGUAACUAUGAAUAAGCCGUCUCUGUGUGUAAGCAGAAGUGUAUCGGUGUUUUCUGGUCUCUGUUGAAGUCUUUUGCUCUUACAUUGCACUUGCAGUGUUUUUGCCAAGGAGUUGAGAAAGCAACGUAUGCUUAAUUCAGUCACAUGGAAUUUUGGGGUGGUGGACGCACAUCAUCAGACCCACGAGUGGCUGCAAAGAUUGGGGCUAAUCGAAACGGAUUCUUCUGGUGGGCCCCCUCUAGCUUAAGAAGAGUGCUUAGCCUUCCUGAAAGCUUAAAUUGUUCAUAUUUUCUAUGUGACUGUUAGGAAAUACUUCCCCAAACUGCAAAUUAAUCUUUAAUUUGCAUAUGCUUUCUCAACUUUCAUUAGUAGGAAGAAUAGCUAAUUUGUUUUCUCUCCAAAUAAAUGUUGUUUAGUCUUUGAUGCAGUUAUUGAAUCAGUUAUCGAUUUUCUGUAGUAACAAUUUUUUAUUUUUGUAGCUCAUCUAAAACAUCUACGAAUACAUGUUAGUAUAUGAUAUUGUUGCAUUACUGAAAUAAUUGUCUAGAUAUGGGAUAGGAUCUAAUUUUACUAUCUUUUAAUGCCCAAAUCAUUACAACUUUCACAAACUUUAUGGUUUGUUUCAGAAACAAUGGUUUCUGCCUCGCUGUUUCUCUGGCUGCUGGUCUAGCGCAUUGCCAUAGUGUACUCUGUAACAUCAGCACCCCACUGUUAUGUGGAGCCAGUUUUAUGUUCUUCAGUUUUACUUAGAGAAACCGACAUAGUCUGAGUAUGAAAUGCUUCCUUAACUGCGGUUACGUUGUCUUCCAGCAACUGCAAAGGGAAAUCAAGAUCCCCUCUUCGUGUCUCUUGAUCUUCACCAGACUUGAAGAACCUGUAGUUCUUAGAGCUGGAGUUUCCAUAGGUGGCUGUAAUGUCCAUAAUAUGAAGUAAUUAAGCGAUCGGUAGUCAUAAUUUGAGCCAAAUGGAGGGCCAUGCAUGUCAUCUGCUGCGGAAGUAUUGAGAGACAAGUAAUGGGUUCCUGUACGUGUCCGUGAAAUUCCACAAAGAGCAGUAUUAUUAAUUUGGUCAAGAUACAAGAGUUAAAUGGGUUUGGACACAAUGUCGCAUGAUUUAUUGCUCAUUUCUUCUAGUGUCCCCAGCCUAUAUUAUGCCCAUCCACAGUUGCAUCUACAGGAGUAAUUACCUGAUAAAAGACACAAAAGAAAUCGGUUUUGUUGAGAGUAAAACACAAUCCUAGCUCAGUCUUACAUGUGAUGUGUUCAUAAAAAGGCAAUGAACUCCAGAUUGCCUCUCUGUAGAAAUUUAGAAUAAAAAUAUCCCAGAAGCAACCAAAGGAUUUUGAGUGGAAGGUAAGCUCAUAGUUUUUAAUUUUAUGUUACACUGUUUCGCUAAGUAUACAUCUGUAUACGUUUCUGACAUUUUAUCAACUAUUUUAACUUAGUUCACAAAAUAAAUUAAUGUAAUUCUUAAUAAUAUAUAUUAAUGGCCCAAACUCUUCCCCUAGAAGUCUCAUUUUAUCUUUACAUCCCCCAA